rnacentral:rRNA from 1 species
UACGUAGGGUGCGAGCGUUGUCCGGAAUUACUGGCGUAAAGGAGCUCGUAGGUGGUUUGUCGCGUUGUUCGUGAAAACUCACAGCUUAACUGUGGGCGUGCGGGCGAUACGGGCAGACUGGAGUACUGCAGGGGAGACUGGAAUUCCUGGUGUAGCGGUGGAAAUGCGCAGAUAUCAGGAGGAACACCGGUGGCGAAGGCGGGUCUCUGGGCCGAUACUGACGCUGAGGAGCGAAAGCGUGGGGAGCGAACAGG